ACUGAGGACUUACUCUUUGAACGCACAUGCGGCCUCGGGUUCUUCCCCUGGCUUCGUCUGUCUGAGGGUCGG
rnacentral:rRNA from 1 species